rnacentral:rRNA from 1 species
GACGUAGGGGGCAAGCGUUGUCCGGAAUCAUUGGGCGUAAAGCGCUCGUAGGUGGAUCGGUAAGUCUGCAAAGAAAGACCCGGGCUCAACUCGGGGAACGGUGUGGAUACUACCGAUCUUGAGGCAAUCAGAGGAUGAUGGAAUUCCCGGUGUAGCGGUGAAAUGCGUAGAUAUCAGGAGGAACACCGAUGGCGAAGGCAGGUCACUGGGCCGCAACUGACGCUGAGGAGCGAAAGCAUGGGGAGCGAACAGG